rnacentral:rRNA from 1 species
GACGAACGCUGGCGGCGUGCUUAACACAUGCAAGUCGAACGGAAAGGCCCUGCUUUUGUGGGGUGCUCGAGUGGCGAACGGGUGAGUAACACGUGAGUAACCUGCCCUUGACUUUGGGAUAACUUCAGGAAACUGGGGCUAAUACCGGAUAGGAGCUCCUGCUGCAUGGUGGGGGUUGGAAAGUUUCGGCGGUUGGGGAUGGACUCGCGGCUUAUCAGCUUGUUGGUGGGGUAGUGGCUUACCAAGGCUUUGACGGGUAGCCGGCCUGAGAGGGUGACCGGCCACAUUGGGACUGAGAUACGGCCCAGACUCCUACGGGAGGCAGCAGUGGGGAAUAUGGCACAAUGGGCGGAAGCCUGAUGCAGCAACGCCGCGUGCGGGAUGACGGCCUGCGGGUUGUAAACCGCUUUCGCCUGUGACGAAGCGGGAGUGACGGUAAUGGGUAAAGAAGCACCGGCUAACUACGUG